UACGGAGGGUGCGAGCGUUGUCCGGAAUCACUGGGCGUAAAGGGCGCGUAGGUGGCCCGUUAAGUGGCUGGUGAAAUCCCGGGGCUCAACUCCGGGGCUGCCGGUCAGACUGGCGAGCUAGAGCACGGUAGGGGCAGAUGGAAUUCCCGGUGUAGCGGUGGAAUGCGUAGAUAUCGGAAGGAACGCCGGUGGCGAAAGCGAUGUGCUGGACCCUUUCUGACGCUGAGGCGCGAAAGCCAGGGGAGCGAACGGG
rnacentral:rRNA from 1 species